rnacentral:rRNA from 1 species
UGCGUAGGUGGUUUCUUAAGUCAGAGGUGAAAGGCUACGGCUCAACCGUAGUAAGCCUUUGAAACUGGGAAACUUGAGUGCAGGAGAGGAGAGUGGAAUUCCUAGUGUAGCGGUGAAAUGCGUAGAUAUUAGGAGGAACACCAGUUGCGAAGACGGCUCUCUGGACUGUAACUGACACUGAGGCACGAAAGCGUGGGAGCAAACA